CAGCCUGCACGCACCUUGGUCCUGCCCUGCACGCACAGUGCUCCUCAGUUUCUCUACCUUCUUCCGAGCUCUCGAGAGCACCACAAGGGGAGAUGCUCUGCUUUAGGGGAAGAACCGAUUGUCCUCCUCCUCCAAUUGUACUCGCGGAACCGAUACUUAUUGAUGCCUGUGACGUCCUGAGUAUCUAACAAGGGGUUUGAAACUGGAACCGACUUGGACCUGCCUGCCCUCACAACUGCUUGAAGAUUUAAGAGAUCGGACCUCUGUGGAAAUCCUUUCUCUCCUGUUUUGGAAUGGCUGUCAACAUGGCAAGUGCAGUGAUCAGUGAGGUUCCAUUCUAAACAGUCUACAUGCAUUAAUUCAGUAAUCCUCUCAACAGCC